CGGCGCAAAGGAUUUCGAGACUAACAAGGACACGAGCCUGCUGCCGCCCGGCACGUUUUACCUCACCCAUGUCGACUCCAUGUACCGGAGGUUCUAUGACCAGAAGCCUGUAGAGGAAACAGCCGGUGGCAAAGCCAAGUGCUGCAACGGCUUCGCAAAUGGCCACUAGUGACGUGCUGUGGACUCCCUAUGUCGCCUGCCUUGUUGCUCAUCGACUCAUCGUGCUUUGU
rnacentral:lncRNA from 1 species